rnacentral:rRNA from 1 species
CGCAUAUUGCGGCCUCGGGGUCCAUCCCGAGGCCACGCCCGUCUGAGGGUCGGCG